CCUUUCACCCCUCAGUUGUGAAAGGCAAAAUGGCAGCGUCCAUACCAGGCGUUGGAAGGAUUUUAUGCCCUUCCAAAGAGCUUACCUGUUAGGCGUUGGACCCAGGCUGUGUUUCCAAGUGUGAAGUCCAGCCUCUCUCUGUGCACUGCAGCCUAACCUGAAAUCCCCAGUGACGCUGCUGUGGCAAGGACAGACCAUGGGGCUACCUGGAGAGCAACGAGUACAUAGAGCGCUAUGGACAAGUCCAGUGUGGUCUGACUAAAGAGGAACCAGAAUGGAGGGAUUCCCCCUCAGAAGACACGCAAGACCUGCAUUAGGAGACAGGAUAUGUGGGAACCCUUGUCCAAUUUGUUGAGACACCAUCAUCCAAUAUCAGAAUGUGAAGCUGCUGCAAAAGUUUAUAAGCCCAUAUACAAGCGUUGUGUAUGACCCCACACGGACAGGGCUACUACCCGUCCAGGUUCCUCAUGUGGACUUCUCAGGGGAGGACUAUUCCAACCCCCAUGACGCAGUUGGCUCGGCCCCUCCUCCCCCACCAUGACCCCUUGGUACAGGUGGUACCACACCAUACAGCCAGACGAGACUGAAGUGGCUCAAGUCAAGAAGACCAACGAGGCCUAUUUGACAUAGACUAGGGCCUUACAGAGGAAUCAUGGUGAAAUUAUUUUUUGUGAUUUAAUUUGGACUUUCUGGAAGUAGUAGAGCACUGGUAGAUCAUUGUACCAUCUAAACUGCAGUGUGAAAUCUUUUCCAUAACCAAAGAUAUUGUAUUUUCAGAUGGUGUACAAAACCAAGAUGCUAAAAGUAAACUUAAGCAUAGAAAUAGCGCACGGAACAUAUUACUGCUUCUUGGAUUUGCUUUCAGCGAGUGACAGAUUCACAUUUCUGUGAAUUUGGUCAGGUCGCACUAAAAGUUACAUAUUGCAGCUUUAAAACAAGUUAUAAAAUAUUGUUUAUGGCAA